rnacentral:rRNA from 1 species
UACGUAGGGGGCGAGCGUUGUCCGAAUUCACUGGGCGUAAAGCGCGCGUAGGCGGACAUUUAAGUUGUGGGUGAAAUGCCGAGGCUCAACCUCGGAACUGCCUGCAAAACUGGGUGUCUUGAGGUAUGGAGAGGGAAGUGGAAUUCCAGGUGUAGCGGUGAAAUGCGUAGAUAUCUGGAGGAACACCCGUGGCGAAGGCGGCUUCCUGGCCAUAUCCUGACGCUGAGGUGCGAAAGCCAGGGGAGCGAACGGGAUUAGAUACCCCGGUAGUCCUGGCCGUAAACGAUGGAUACUAGGUGUUAGAGGUAUCGACCCCUCUAGUGCCGGAGCUAACGCAUUAAGUAUCCCGCCUGGGGAGUACGACCGCAAGGUUGAA